UUGGGUUAAAUAAUGCUUAGUGCUGCGCAAGGUCAUAUGCCUGCUGAUUGACAGAUUGGAAUCACCGAGCUCCUCACCACAGAGCCCCCUCCCCUCAUGCCCAAGAUGCUGAGCUCCUUGGCCUGGGCUGCAGCGCACGCAGGGCCAGUGUGUGGAGCUCCCCAGAGAAAACCUGAAGGAGACCGCGGUGUUACCAGGGAGGCCCAGGAGCCCUCGGCAUGAAGCUAGCACCCUGGGAGCCGAAGAGGUCUACCACAUACACGGUCUCCCAUCACCUGCAUCUUGCUGACCCCGGGUUAAAUCCCAGCCUCUGCACUCCACUCAGGCAAGCAGGCCAAGCGAGCCUGCUUUGGGAUUACUCUGAUUAACUCUCUUAAAGUAAAACAUUUGCGAUCCUCAUUUGAUACAAACCACCUAAUUCCAAGAAUGACCAGUGC